rnacentral:rRNA from 1 species
AUACGUAGGGGGCAAGCGUUAUCCGGAUUUACUGGGUGUAAAGGGAGCGUAGACGGUAUGGCAAGUCUGAUGUGAAAGGCUGGGGCUCAACCCCGGGACUGCAUUGGAAACUGCUUAGCUAGAGUGUCGGAGAGGUAAGUGGAAUUCCUAGUGUAGCGGUGAAAUGCGUAGAUAUUAGGAGGAACACCAGUGGCGAAGGCGACUUACUGGACGAUAACUGACGCUGAGGCUCGAAAGCGUGGGGAGC